CAGCCGCCGCGGUAAUACGUAGGGUGCAAGCGUUAAUCGGAAUUACUGGGCGUAAAGCGUGCGCAGGCGGUUCGCUAAGACAGGUGUGAAAUCCCCGGGCUUAACCUGGGAACUGCAUUUGUGACUGGCGGGCUAGAGUAUGGCAGAGGGGGGUAGAAUUCCACGUGCAGCAGUGAAAUGCGUAGAGAUGUGGAGGAAUACCGAUGGCGAAGGCAGCCCCCUGGGCCAAUACUGACGCUCAUGCACGAAAGCGUGGGGAGCAAACAGGAUUAGAUACCCCCGUAGUCCAUGUCUCUUAUAU
rnacentral:rRNA from 1 species